AGUGGUGUAGCUCAGUGGUAGAGCACUUUCCUAACAUGUACAAGUCCCUGGGUUCAAUUCCUAACACCAUAA
rnacentral:tRNA from 1 species